ACUCCUACGGGAGGCAGCAGUGGGGAAUAUUGGACAAUGGGGAACCGUAGCAUCCAGCCAUGCCGCGUGUGUGAAGAAGGCCUGCGGGUUGUAAAGCACUUUCAGUUGGGAAGAUAAUGACGUUACCAACAGAAGAAGCACCGGCUAACUCCGUGCCAGCAGCCGCGGUAAUACGGAGGGUGCAAGCGUUAAUCGGAAUUACUGGGCGUAAAGCGCACGUAGGCGGUUUACUAAGUCGGAUGUG
rnacentral:rRNA from 1 species